AGCCUUGAGGUGAUGAAAUCACAUUGAAUUGCAAAUUCAAAGGAGCAGCUCAAUCCUGCCGGGGCUU
rnacentral:tRNA from 1 species